CAGAAAAUAGUUUAUAUAAAAUAUUAAUUUUGGAGAUUAAUGAAAAGAUUUAUUUUUUUUUUCUGA
rnacentral:tRNA from 1 species